rnacentral:lncRNA from 1 species
CACGAACGAACCAUGUAGAUAUAACUAUUUGAAAUAAUAACCUUAAUUAUUACACCUCAACCAUAUCGUAUGAUUGUCUAUAGUUGAGUUCGAUUAAGAAGGGGUAAUCCAAUUAUUGAGUUCGAUUAGGAAAGAAUUAAGGAUAAUGAUUAACACCUAACCAAAGAGCCAGAUUUGGGCAUAAUGCACCAACACCAUCCCAGUGGAGUGCAGUUGUAAACAACACAUCCUGGAUGUCUAGCGCAAACGUCAUUGCAGUCUGCAAUCUUUUUGCAAGGUAAUGCGUCCGGCUUAAAUCCCAGAGUUGCUGCUUUUGUUGUUUCUCCUCCUUCUACGAUACCUAUUAUUAUUAUAUAUUCCACACAAAAAUAAACAUUAAUCAUUUACAAAGAAAAAUUAAUAUUAUAUUCAUCAUUUGGGUUUACGAGAAGAGGAGAUCGAUCAAACUCACAGGUGGAGACGAUUAGGAACAUGAAGAAGACGGACAGCUGGAACGACGACGACGACGACGCUGUAGCCAUUUUGAUAUUUUUUUCUUGAAGAAUUAGUGACUUGAUUUUCUCUCUGGUAUUUUAGAUUUUCA